rnacentral:rRNA from 1 species
GAUGAACGCUGGCGGCGUGCCUAAUACAUGCAAGUCGAGCGAACGGACGAGAAGCUUGCUUCUCUGAUGUUAGCGGCGGACGGGUGAGUAACACGUGGAUAACCUACCUAUAAGACUGGGAUAACUUCGGGAAACCGGAGCUAAUACCGGAUAAUAUUUUGAACCGCAUGGUUCAAAGGUGAAAGAGGGUCUUGCUGUCACUAAUAGAUGGUUCCGCGCUGCAUUAGCUAGUUGGUAAGGUAACGGCUUACCAAGGCAACGAUGCAUAGCCGACCUGAGAGGGUGAUCGGCCACACUGGAACUGAGACACGGUCCAGACUCCUACGGGAGGCAGCAGUAGGGAAUCUUCCGCAAUGGGCGAAAGCCUGACGGAGCAACGCCGCGUGAGUGAUGAAGGUCUUCGGAUCGUAAAACUCUGUUAUUAGGGAAGAACAUAUGUGUAAGUAACUGUGCACAUCUUGACGGUACCUAAUCAGAAAGCCACGGCUAACUACGUG